AGUGAACGCUGGCGGUAGGCCUAACACAUGCAAGUCGAACGGCAGCACAGUAAGAGCUUGCUCUUACGGGUGGCGAGUGGCGGACGGGUGAGGAAUACAUCGGAAUCUACUUUUUCGUGGGGGAUAACGUAGGGAAACUUACGCUAAUACCGCAUACGACCUACGGGUGAAAGCAGGGGAUCUUCGGACCUUGCGCGAUUGAAUGAGCCGAUGUCGGAUUAGCUAGUUGGCGGGGUAAAGGCCCACCAAGGCGACGAUCCGUAGCUGGUCUGAGAGGAGGAUCAGCCACACUGGAACUGAGACACGGACCAGACUCCUACGGGAGGCAGGAGUGGGGAAUAUUGGACAAUGGGCGCAAGCCUGAUCCAGCCAUACCGCGUGGGUGAAGAAGGCCUUCGGGUUGUAAAGCCCUUUUGUUGGGAAAGAAAAGCAGCAGGUUAAUACCCCGCUGUUCGGACGGUACCCAAAGAAUAAGCACCGGCAAACUGCGU
rnacentral:rRNA from 1 species